UACGUAGGGUGCAAGCGUUGUUCGGAAUUACUGGGCGUAAAGGGCUCGUAGGCGGCCAACUAAGUCAGACGUGAAAUCCUUCGGCUUAACCGGGGAACUGCGUCUGAUACUGGAUGGCUUGAGUUUGGGAGAGGGAUGCGGAAUUCCAGGUGUAGCGGUGAAAUGCGUAGAUAUCUGGAGGAACACCGGUGGCGAAGGCGGCCUGCUGGGCAGUUGCUGACACUGAGGCGCGACAGCGUGGGGAGCAAACAGG
rnacentral:rRNA from 1 species